GAUUUGAGAGAAAUAAAAUGAGUAAGGGAGUUAGAAUCCAUUGUACUAGUGAUGGGGGCUUGAACAGGGGCAAUUGGAAUAGGGAAUCGAGAGGAGAAGAUGGAGCUAUCAGCCAGUGCCUGGCCACUACGGUGGUUCCAGAGCUGGGCCAUUCCUGUUUGGUAUAUAAGAUGUUUCCAUAGGUAAUUUUUGCUCAAGGACUAUCUUUUGGUCUGACCAAUACUCUCAGAACUGCACUGCAGUAUGAGGCUGUUCCUGCCCAUUUUUCCUUCAUUCUUUUUUGUAGUAUUAGACCUACAUCAUGGUCUGAAGUGUCCCCCUGCCUGUUAUAUAGCACUCCCUAUGCAUCAUAGGUAUUCUCCCAAUAAAGCUUUUUCAUCACUAAUUCCAAUGUGACAUCUGCUUCUUGGAGGAUCCAAACUGACAUCAGAAGCACAUAGACAUAGGUGGGGUGAAAGGGAUGAAACAUGAGAAAUUGGUUACAGAAAUCCUAAGUUUGGUCUGACAGAGAAAUCUGGCUGGAAAUUAAGAUAGUUGGAUAAACAAGUUAGAAAGUCAGAUAUAGGGCAUGUAGAUGUGGGGGUCUUUGGCACACUAUAGUGUGUAAUCAAAACUGUGAGAGUGGAUGGAAUCACUCAGGCAAGAAGACACAUGUGAAAAUGGAAAUUAUUAUGUUCAUGCAAAUUAAGAUGCAUUAGAGCAUACACGGAUCAGCCCUGUCACAUUCACUUCCUGUUCUCCAUUCCCUUUGUCCAGUUUGUGCUCCCCGUCUUUCCUGUUGGAUGUGCUGCCUGUGCCAACCAUCUCCUAUGAACCCUUAGCACAUUUAAGGCUCUUCGCUGCCAGGAUUAGAACUCACUUUUUUUUUUUUUUUUUCCUUUUUUUGUCUUUUUAGGGCUGCAUCCUCGACAUAUUGAAGUUCCCAGGCUAGGGGUCAAAUCAGAGUCACAGCUGCUGGCCUGCAUCACAGCCACAGCAACGCCAGAUCUGAGCCACAUAUCUGACCAACAAUGGAAUCCUUAACCCACUGAGUGAGGCCAGAAAUCAAACCUGUGCCCUCAUGGAUACUAGUCGGGUUUGUUAACUGCCGAGCCACAGUGGAAACUCCCAGAACUCACUCUUGAGUUAGUUGUGCCUUAUACCUCCAUCUUUUCCAGAAAAGUGAUAAUUCUUAGUUCUUCUCUUGAGGUCUCUGUCUCAAUCUUAAACUCCAGGUCAGUAGGGAUCUGAUGCUCUUAAUCCUGCGGACAGUUGAAGAUCCAUUUCUCUGCCAUAGGCAGCAGGUUUUACUGUGAAUUCUGAUUUUUUCCCCCACGUCUCGCUUUUACUGUGUAUAUUCCUUGCUUUGUUUUCAUCGGAUAUGGUAAGGAUUUCUAUCUGUUCACCUCUGGUGAUUACUCUAGCUUUAUAAUUGGCUGUUUUUGGCAGGGCAGUUCCUUCUAUCUUUAAAGCAUUAGCUCUAGUCUAAAGUUCCAGCUCCUCUGUAGUCUUAUGUAUAGGAGUCUCUUACACUUGUUCUUUCAGCCAGAUAGGUGACACUGCUUCAUGGCCCUCCAUAUUUUCAGAAGAGUCUGGCAUUCCAAGGAGUCUCCUUUAGUCCAGGCAGCUGUGAAUGUGAAGUGAAUCCUGUAAUCUUGUGUUGAUGGCAUAACAACAUAAGUCUGGAUCCACCUGUCUUUUGCCCUGGCCUCAUAUUCUUGGUACAUUUUACCACAUAACUAGAAUGUGGAAAAGGUUGCCCCAGUGGUGGGGUGGAGUAGAGACACGCAGUGUCAUUCUGUAUGAACUUGUGCAACUUUUACAGUUUCACCUUGAACCAAGUAGAUACUGGAAGAGAAUAAAGAUAAUAUUCCCACAAUACACUUGAUGUGAUGAUUGCCUUUUAAGUGGGUGCACCUUUGUUAUUGCAGAAGAGUUAUUAUAAUCCUUAUAUUCCUUACAGUUCCUAAGUUAUAACACAUGUAUUUUUUAAACUUUUUAAAUUGUUAUUUCCCCAAUACAGUUUUUUUUUCUACUGUACAGCAUGGUGACCCAGUUACACAUACAUGUAUACAUUCUCUUUUUUCCCAUUGUCAUGCUCCAUCAUAAGUGACCAGACAGUUCUCAGUGCUACACAGCAGGAUCUCAUUGAUUAUCCACUCCAAAAGCAGUAGUUUGCAUCUAUUAACCCCGAGCUCCCAAUCCAUCCCACUCCCUCCCCCUCUCCCUUGGCAACCACAAGUCUAUUCUCCAAGUCCAUGAUUUUCUUUUCUGUGGAAAGAUUCAUUUGUGUUGUAUGUUAGAUGCCAGACAUAAGUGAUACCAUAUGGUAUUGUCUUUCUCUUUCUGACUUCACUAUGAGAGUCUUUAGUUCCAUCCAUGUUGCUGCAAAUGGCAUUAUUUUGUUUUUUCUUAUGGCUGAAUAGUAUUCCAUUGUGUACAUAUACACCAUAUCUUCCUGGUCCAAUCAUCUGGACAUUUGGGUUGUUUUCAUGUCCUGGCUAUUGUAAAUAGUGCUGCAAUGAACAUGUGGGUGCAAGUGUCUUUUUUAAGGAAAGUUUUGUCUGGAUAUAUGCCCAAGAAUGGGGUUGCUGGGUCAUAUGGUAGUUCUAUGUAUAGUUUUCUAAGGUACCUCCAAACUGUUCUCCAGAGUGGUUGUACCAGCUUACAUUCCCACCAACAGUGCAGGAGGGUUCCCUUUUCUCCACAUCCCCUCCAUUGUACAAAUCUGGCACUAAUCACAAUUUCAUUCGUAUAUCUGCUUUCUUUUUAGGCUAAUAAAAGCUGUUCUACACAAGUCUUAUAUCAAAGUCACCACAUACAAUUGCCCUCAGAUGCAGUGCCUCAAAACUUGCAACAUUUUAUGAACUUCCUCAUAUCAAUAUAGACAGUUUCAUGCAACCUUGAUGGGCCCUUAAUUUCUCAUUACAUGGUCUUCUGACAAUUUUUGAAAUACAAGGUGAGCACUCAUACUACAAUGUCCUAUCAAGAAGGCUAAUUAAUAGAGAAAACCAUGCCAUAUCAAUGUCAAAUAUUAACUGGGUAAUAGGAAUCCAAGGAGCGGAUUAGAGAGAGUAGGAUGAAUUUGAGGAAGUAAAAGUCAAGGAAUUAUAAUGAGAGUCAUCUGAGAUAGUUUGAAGAGGCUGAAGCUUUCAGUGAUGUGAUCUAAAAGCAAUUUGAAAACAAGUUUCAGGCAAAUAACUCAACAAUCCAGAAUGACAUGACAGGCAGUCUUGGGUACAACAUGAUUUUGCAAACAAUAACAUAGUUUGCAAAUAUUUGUGAAAUUAUAGGGCCAUAGUCUCUUUUGGCCAUAUCUGUGCCAUGAAAAAUUUCCUGAGCCAGGGAUCAAAUCUGUGUCAGAGCAGUAACCAGAGCCACAGCAGUGACAACACCGAAUCUUUAACCCACUGAGCCACCAGGGAACUCCCAGGGUUAUAGAUUUUUAAUGCACCUGUGUACGUAAGUAAUGGUCAUAAUAGCGUUUUUUUUGCUUGUUUUUGUUUUUGUUUUUUUUUUCCUGAACUUGAUUAUAUACCUCUCUAUGCUAAAAUCUCUUAUCAAUAUUUGGUACAUAUAACCUGUGUACCAGUGCCUGAUGGUUAUGUUUUAAGCUUCAUUGUUUACUAACUGAUGGGUACUGCUCUUAGGUCUCUGUUAGUAUAUCAGAAUACUCUUUCAGUGUGAAUAAUUGCUCUAAUAUUUACUUUCCAUUUGAUUGCAUCCCUCCCCUUUCCUGCUUCCUCUGAAAAUAAUGGCUAGGUUUUAAAAUACCCCGCUGAUGGACUAGUAUUAAUCAAUGGAAAUUGUUAAACAGAACUUCAGGUUAGAAAAGAAAUGUUAGCAUAUGUAUAAUCUAAUAUUUUGCUCACUAUUGAUGGUCAUUAGUCACAUAAUCAACUUUACAUUAUAUGCUCUAAGUAUAUAAUUAUUUUAAAUGUAUCUAAAUGUUCACCCACUUUCACAUUUUUCUCCAUGAGAAUGAGGCUCUAUGACUCAUAAUUAGAUCACCUUCUUUCAACCUGGAUUGGUUUAAUCGUUUCUUUGUCCCAAAUCACCUUUCGGUAAAUUAAACUAAUGGAAAAUAACCAAGAGCAUUGGAAAGAAUGUGAAUCUAGGCAUGAGAAGUAAAAGGAUUAAGCACACCUGUUCUAAUGGUCCUUUUUAAACAUUUUCUGUAAUUGUAACAGUAACUCGGGCGUAAGCAAUGGUUGAAGCUGUGUAAAACCACAGAGAAUGUGGAGUGUAGGACAACAUUUGAAUUUUAUGAAAUUUAGUUGUGUGUAUCUUGGGUUUUAAACAUUUGGAUAUUUGUUUCCACAUAAACGUAAUGAAUAUUAGCUCAGGUUAUGUAGCUAUCUUUCUUAGAAUCCUGAGAAUCGCUGGUAUUAGGGAUGGAGGUCUUUUGCAGAUACACAGAUCUAGCAGUUAAUAUAUGUGUACAGAAGAAUCCUUUCUACUUCAUCUUUGUAUCUUUCCCUUGGGAAAUAAGCAUUUUUGUUUGCAAUUACCUUUUAUAUGCCUAGUUCUGGUGUUACAGAUGAAGACAUAUCCUGUGGGUGUAGAAAAUGAAGCUUUACCUUCUGAGAGCUAACAUGGUGGUUUAGCUUAUUUGACACUUGCUUUGCUGAAGUAAUCUUGUUGGUAAGGCUUUAAUCUUGUACAUCAUGCCAGUAAGUUGGGUAUUUUUCACAUAGUAAGCAGGCUAUCUUAAGCUCUAGAGCCAGGUGUCUGUGUCUUUCACAUGGACAAUCAGAAUAUAAAAUAAAUAUAAAUACUGCCACUUUCUAUCACUAAAAACUCAUUGAAAAUGAUCCAGAAAAGGGAUUCUUAUCAACUAUCCCUAAAAUUUUAUGAAACAUUGUGAGAAAUGUUUAUAUGUAUGUGUUUUAUUUCUGUAUGUUUUAAAAGAGAGGGUCCAUAGCUUUCCUGAUACUUAAGUGGGGUUUACAGUCCCCAGAUACUUAGAAUUGGUGCCAUAGAAUACAAGAAAUAUGAAGAACAAGCACAAAAAUGAAAAAAAAGUGAAAAAUUAUGUUCUUUUUAAAUUAGUAGUAUUAUAAAUAACAAAUUAUAUUGUUCAAUCUGAAUUUUAUUUUACUCUAACUUUGUUUUUGUUUAUAUGUGGAACACUUAAUGGCAUAUUAUAAUUUCAUUACAUAAAGUUCCAAAAUAGAUAAUGAUAUUCAAGGUUGCUGUGUAAAGGAUAUCAAUUUGUUUUACAGUCAGGUUGAAUAAAUACAUUAUUUUAUUGAAAUUUCUGGGGGAGAAAAUCAACAAAAAUCACUAACUUGAAUACCACAUUUUUUUCUACAAAGAAGGAACAUACAUUGUUUCAUUAGACUGAUCCUAAAGUCUAAAAUUCUAUAAACAAGUGAAAUAUUGACUUAGUUUUUAAACAUACAAAACUAAGUAGACAUUUUUUUGGGGGUAGAUGUUUUGGGAAUAUUAUCUUAGUAUUCAUUAUGGUUAAAAGUAUGGUAUUUGGAAUCAAUUUCAAAUUUCAGCUUUAGUCCUUAUUGACGAUGUAACUCCUGGCCAAUAAGCAUACAUUUUCAUUCCUAUAAAUGAAGCAAUGAACAGAAAGCCUUUGUUCAGUGUCUGGUAAAUGAAAAUGCUUUAUAAGCAGUAAAGCAGUAGUAUUCCUAGUACUUGCAGUAUGUGCAGUAGUGCUCAGAGUAGUAAUCAUAGUUGGAUUUGGAUUAAUGUAUAUAGUAAGAGACUUAAUUAUAUAGUAAGAGGUUAGUGAGGGAGGUUGUUAGAAAGGCAUGCUGGGGAGAGUGAGCCACCUAGGACUGCAAAUAGGGCUUAAAUCUAGCAAAUUAGGAGAUACUGCCCAAGAAUUACUCCCUGCUUAGAGGGAGUUAAAUCAAUAUGUUUGCAUAUUUGAUAUCUUUAUAGGCCUGAACAAUUAACAUGGGAUGAUGAAAUACUGAAAUAACAGAAAUGGGGGUAGUCGAUACAUGUAUUUAAGUUAAAGACGGAUCAUUAGUUAAUAGCCAUAAAGAGAUCCUAGGCAUGGUAUAGAUCCCAUGAGUAAAACAGAAAAUAUUACAUUAGACUGUGAAACAUGUUAAUGUACAAAACAUAUAAUUGAUGAUGCAUGGUGGGCACAAAUUUUGUGAGACAAUUCAAAGUUGUCAAUACUAUGUAACUACUAUUGUAGCGACUUUUCUAUAUGUGGGGCAAUUUCAUCUAUAAAAUCUUUCUACCUCUAUACAAGGGAGUGGUUCUAUUUACAUGCUCUAUUUUUGUUUGGUUGUACAUGUUGAAAAAGUAGCCUUAUUUUAAAAGUAAUUAUAACUCGAUAAUACAUCAAAACACAAUCUUUUUCUUAUUCUUCUUUUCCCCAUUUCUAUAUCCAAGUAUAGAAUGAUCAUUAUUAAAUGUUUUGGUCCACUUAAUAUGGCUCCUGGUAAGCUAAUAUUAAUUGGAACUAAUGUUUAUUUGAGGCUUCCUAGAUGUAGGCACUGAGAGUUCUGUCUGUAUUAGCUUGUGUAAUCCCAUCGUAGUCCUGUCAGAUAGGAACUACCUUUAUGCGAGCUUAGAAAAUGUAGUUGUUUUGCUUAAGGUCACAUAAUUGAUGAGUGGUAAGGCCAAAAUUCAAAUCCCUAUGUGAUUCCAGAACUCAUAUGCAGUAAAACAAUGUUAAUUGGCCUCUCAGAAGGGAAGAUGAGGUAACCCAUUGAAUAUAGAUAGGAUCUCUUACCAG
rnacentral:lncRNA from 1 species